UAUUAUUUUUUUCUUUCUUUUUUUUUUCCCCCCCCCUCCUCUGCAAACAGAGGAGUUGCACGGCCCAACCCGCGGCGUGGCAAGCAGCGGGGCCGGCGGGAGGCUGCAGCACAGCCCUGGCGCAGCCAUGGGGCAGAAGUGCAUGGAGAAGGUCUCCUCCUUCCUCUUCGAGUAUGACACCCCCAGGAUGGUGCUGGUGAGGAACAAGAAGGUGGGACUGACCUUCCGGCUGAUCCAGCUCAUCGUCCUGGCAUACAUCAUCGGGUGGGUUUUCCUCUACGAGAAGGGCUACCAGUCUCAGGAUAGCAUCGUCAGCUCGGUCUCGGUGAAGCUGAAAGGCCUGACGCUGACCAACGAGAGUGUCAUGGGCCCUCACAUCUGGGACGUGGUGGAUUAUGUUUUCCCACCCCAGGGGGACAACUCGUUCGUGGUGAUGACCAACUUCAUUGUCACCCCUGGACAGAAACAAGGAACCUGCCCGGAGCUGCCGGACGCCGGGCUCUGCACGCAGGACAGUGACUGCAGCAAAGGGAAAUACAGCCGCCAGGGACAAGGGCUCAUGACAGGCAAGUGCGUGCAUUUCAACAGCACGGUGAAGACCUGUGAGGUCUUUGGCUGGUGCCCCGUUGAAGUUGAUGACCACGUUCCCAGUCCUGCUCUGUUGUCAGAAGCGGAGAAGUUCACCUUGUUCAUCAAGAACAGCAUCACCUUCCCCAGGUUCAAGGUGUCCAGGCGCAACUUGGUUGAGAGCGUUACCAAACAGUACCUGAAGAAAUGCACCUAUCACAAAGUCACCGAUUCCUUGUGCCCCGUGUUUGACCUGGGAUACAUAGUGAAGGAAUCGGGUCAGAAUUUUACCUUCCUGGCUGUUAAGGGCGGAGUGGUGGGCAUCACCAUAGACUGGAACUGCGACCUCGACUGGCCCGUCCGGUACUGCAAACCCAUUUACCAGUUCCACGGCCUUUACAACGAUGACAGUAACGUCUCACCGGGCUUCAACUUCAGAUAUGCCAAGUACUACAAAGAAGACGGGAUGGACAAGAGAACGCUCUACAAGGUGUUUGGGAUCCGGUUCGACAUUUUGGUGAACGGCAAGGCAGGCAAAUUUGACAUCAUCCCGACCAUGACCACAAUUGGCUCUGGAAUUGGUAUUUUUGGAGUGGCCUCUGUCCUCUGUGACCUGCUCCUGCUGCAUUUUCUCCAAGGACGUGACUAUUACAAGCAAAAGAAAUUCAAAUAUGCGGAACAGGAACCUUCGAAGUUGCAUAAGAAGGUUAAAGAGCUGGACAACGCACAGUGAGAGAAUCCACACUGACCGACAAACCUGCACCCUCUUCCUCCUCCUCUCCUAAAACACGGUUGCCAUCCCCUGUCACCAGCCUGCACCAGCCCCAAGGCCACAGGAGCAGCGUCCGACACCGGCUCACGGGAACACGGCGCUCUGCAGCCGGGGCAGGGUCCGGCUGGCUCGGAGCCCUGCCUCCGGUGGGACACGCUGCGAUGCUGCGGGCUGGCUGGCUGGCGGAGAGCACUGGUGCGCUGCCGGCCAUCCAGAACAGCUGCCCUGUGCCAGCUCUGCCUCCUGCUGCCCACGCCGGUCAGUAUUAGCCGGUCAGAACUGACCUUCUCGGCGGUAGCCUCACAAACCAGCUCUUUGCACCCGGGAACAAAACUACCCCUCUCUGCUAGAAGAUUUGCACUGCUCGGCGUGCGCAGUUGGACAUCACGAACUACGCCCAAGCCUCGCAUCGCUACGAGAGGCCACUGCCCCGUGCUGCUGGCUCCGUUCAGUUCUCCAGGACGCAUCAGACUUUCUGCACUGUCUCUCUCUCUGAAUGUCACUUUUGCACCCCUGGGAGGAAAUUUUGCCUUGGUCACUUCAAAACUGGAUCCCAGCUGCCGUGGGAAAGUCAGUAAAGAAGCUAUAGGGAUUGCUCUGCCUGCGGCUGCAACGCUGCUGACUCUGGUGGGAACUGAGCUAGGAGCCUGCAGGACGGACGCCCCGCGCUCGGCUCGUAGGGACACGGGGGCAUGUGCCACAGAUGGUUGCAGGUGACAUUUGGUCAUAAGCUCAACAAACAUUUCAAGCCAUAUAUUCCCUGUGGGGAGAUUAUUUGCUCUCAGAAGGAUGUCUCAUCUUUCACAGGCAGGGUUUGGGGUAUUUUUAAAAGAUUAUCCGUUUUGCUAACUUUUUCACCCUUUCUCAGGAUGCUGUCCUGUGUGAGAAAGGUGCCAGGUGCUUAUACUACAGAUGCAGAGAUGAAGGUGAGGGAAGUUAGGUUAGUGCCAUCUUAGCAGGGCUGGUGGCAUCCCCGUGCAGCUUGUGCUCUCCUGCAGCACUCAUCGAGUCGAAGCGCCGCACAGUCGCCGUCUAAUGCAACGGCGCAUCUCUCCAGCAAGCUGCAACCAGCAGAGGGGACUGGAAGACCAUUUCACACAGACAUGCCUGGGGAAAAUUCGGUUGCCAAAGAUUAGAGGCAGCGAAGCGAGAGUGCUCAGGUAGCCUUUUGCACUCGCUUAAACUGGGUCAAUCUCCAGUCAUAACGUAAAAUAACUAGCGCAAAGCUGCAGGUAGAGCAGGGGGUUGUUUCUGCCUGCUUAAUCUUUCGAGCUGCUUGUAAUGCCCAGCCCCUAUUCUUUUCUAGUAAGUAUUAAAAAGCAGAAUAGGAAAUUAGGAAAAAUGCUACUUGUAAAUGAUCCCCUGAAGUUGCUGUCCCUCUGAGCUGGGAUCCCUAAAAGUCCCAAGGCUGCUUUAAAAAUCGUGGGAGGGUUUAUUUUCAUCUCCUUGCUUGUUUUUUUAAAUGCACAAUCUUCGGGGAUCUUUUUCUUUGCUUUUCAUUCACCAACCAUUUCUGCAACCAGCAGAAUGAGAUAUUGUAAUUUUAAUUGUUUCACCAAAACAAGCUCCUCCUCUGAGCCAGGACCCCCAGGGCCCGUGGCUUUCAGGCGGGUGCUGUGCAGAGCGAUAGUUGUCUGGAGGAAGCCGAGUGCGUGACUGUAACACACGGUGGUCCCCUCUGCGGUAUAAAGUUGCAGGGAAAGCCCAUGGCAAUUGUUUCAGUCCCUCCUUUUGCCAGAGGGGCUGGAGCAGGUGCUCGGGGUGGGAGAGGAGGAGGAAGGGCUGGUCUGCUCAGCCCCGUGGGGCUUGAGCCUUCGUUGGCGUAGAGGCUCUAUUUCAGCACGGCAGCUCCCAGCCACUUCUCCCAGUGCCUUCCAGUUUGCUAAAAUUCAUGCAAAUUUACUGAAUGCAGGAUAGCGCACAACAGUUAAAUGUCUGCACAUCUAAAGCACUGAAAAAUGGAAAUGACGACAGGUCUAAGAUUUGCCCUGAGAAAGGCUGCACCCUGCAGCGUCCUGGCGUUGCUGCUGAGCUUGUUGCAGGGAGGUUUCUCAGUGCAAGUCCCCGUGGGGAGGUGUGGGUGACUGGCAGGACCAUACUCCUGGCCUCUUGGUUUGACCUGAUCCUGCUCUUAGGGUCAGGGAAGAAUUUCCUGUGCUUGGCAUCUGUUGUGGCCAGAAAGCGACUGUAUUUGAAGCUGUAAAAAUGCAGUCAGUGUAUCCUGCUGCUCUCUGACCAGCAAGCCAGCGUCACAGAAACCCAGAGGGAUUUGGUCAUCGUGCGUUAGACCCCUUCGGUGACAGUGUGCUGUGUUGCUUCUUAUUUAUGCUGUGGCAAUGGAGGGUUGGGUUGUGGGUGUUGUUUUUUUUUUUUAAAGCGCCUUGUCUAGUUGCAUUUUGGUUUGUACGUGGUUAUUUAGCUAACAGAAAAAUACUAAUAAGAAAGGAACCUUCAGUAAAUCAAACACUGCCUCCAGUCCUUUCAGCCAGAAAACACACAAGAAAGAACAUAUAUUAUUCUCCAGGUAAUCCCUAAUCCUUACAAACAGCACUAACAAGCCCUUGAAUGUGACGUUGUCGGUACGGCGUUCUGAGGGUCUAGCGGAGGACUCUUGCAUUGAUCACGG